GUUUGCACUCCGACGAUCAAGUCAGCAAGCAGAAAACACCAAACACCUCCGUAUCGGAGCACCGUAACUGAAUGCUCUGAAGGUGUGUAACUGAAUUGUAACUAACUUCUCUCUCUCUCCUAUCACUCGUGCAUACAGUGAGUAAGCGAGCAAAUGAUUAGAACGUGUGUAAACUGUGUAAAAUGUACCUCACUAAGCUUUCAGAAAAGCUUAUAUACCUUGGGUUUUAGUGCUUGCUGCCAUGUGGCUUUUCUGACUUAAGCGCAACUCCACAUGGAGGGCCUUACGACGCUGUAACCCAACUUAGGGAAAUUCCAACGUGUAAGUCUUCCUUCCUCGAAGUGCAUCCGACGCAAAGGGUGACUUUCUGGGUGCCAACUCAUGCGCCCCAGCCUCUAGUCACUCGCCCUGGGAGUGUAUCUGCCUUCCUCUCCUACCACGCACAUGGUUCACCCCUGGGUGUGGCCCUCUCCUGGGUCGUAUCUGUCCUAGGGAUUCUCCAGAGGUGGCGUGGGUACUUCACGAGUCAGGUUACUCCCUACUAGUACUGGGAAUAUGGCCUUAAAGCCACCUUUCUCUUUUCUUUAUUACUGUUCUGAGGUACCGGGGCCCGAGGCCUCCUCGCUCGUACCGUGGCCUCUUAUUGUGCCGCCCCUCCACGGUCUUCCCUACCCGUGGGUAUCGGGGGGUGGCACCAUCGACACCUAAACCCGGCGACGCCCAUACUUGGCGACGGCCACUCCUGGCGACGCCCAAAGCGAUCAACCCAUUGACUUUCUUCCUUAGGGCCCCAUGGUGGGUUCCACCAUUCAUUUGACUUUGACUUUGGUCAAUGCCCGGGGACGGGACUGUACACAAGCCCCCCAGUCUUGAGCUGACAAUUGUUUUCAGCAAAAAGACUAAGACUAAGGCCUCGCCCUACCGUCCACGUGGCACUCUAAUGACGUGACAUUCUCUAAGGUGGUGACGUGACACAUUAAGUCACGCUUUAAUCUCUUGACACAUGGCCCAAUCGCACGGCCAGCCUUUAGCGCCUCUCGCGCUCCUCAAGUUUACGUUAUAUCUUUCAAAAACGUGCGCUCCAGUUACUGUUUCAUCAUUUUUUGCAUUCCUCAACACUGUUCAUCUUCUCGAAGCUUUCUCUGCGUUCUCUCUUCACACCUCAAACCUUCAUCAACCCGAUCAUUCAAAGGUAUGAUUUUUCUCCUUCGAUGGCUCUUUCUCUUGACUUUUUGCAUUAAAUUACUGCCUGUGUCUAUUUAUUUUUCCCGCAUUCGCACUUUUCUUCUUCAAUUCUUCGCUCCCCCUCUUCUCAAUCUCUCGCGUGGGUAGGGUUUCUUCCCUUUUUUCGCCUUAACCCUCAUUUGCUAAACCUUUUUUCUUCUUCAUUCUUCAGUUUCGUUCAUGGCGCGUACUAAAACGACUGCCAACCCUCCACCUCCAAGGGUCAACUACAGAGCCUUAUACCCUUGGGCCCUGAUGAGCUGCUCGCUGAGUGCUUAAGCCUAACCUCCCUGAAGGAUUGGAGGACAAUGUUGGCGACCCAAGCGUCUACCAAUACAGCGCCUUCGCUAUGAGGCAUGAUGCGUACAUCUCUGUGCAACCUUGCACUCCAGGCGAGCCUGUCUGCGUAGAUGAUAGGUCCAACAAUGGGGUGCCAUACUUUUUCUUCUACCAAACAGUAUUCAAACGCAUUGGGAUGUGUUUGCCUUUUUCUGGGUUUGAGAGGGAGCUCUUGACCGAAAUAAACGUUGCCCCUGCCCAGCUACACCCCAACAGCUGGGCCUUCGUCAAGGCCUUCGGAAUCCUCUGCGGGUACUUCGGCCAGCCCCCCUUCUUCGAGGUGAAGAAGCAAGGGAAAAGCUUGUGGGUGAGCUUCAGCAGUAUCGUUGGAAGAGUCCUCCUCUCCCUAUUCCAGUAAUCCUACAAAGGCUGGAGAGGAAAAUUCUUCAGGGUGUGCUGCACCGAGCACGACCACGUUGCCCUAGAUGGCUUCCCUUUGUACUGGGUGCAAGAAGUGAAGCUAACCAAGCUGAAAACCUUAGAUGAGCUGCCCUCGACUAAUCGAGAGGUUUGCCAAAUUCUGGCCAGCAUGGGGGUCCUCGAUACCGCUAAAGUGAUAGGUCGUGAAUACGACGCUGAGGCCCUCACCAAAUACAUAAGUAUGAGAAUCACCCCAUUUAACUGUUUGUUCUCUGCUUCUGUUUAUUUUCCGUUCUUGCUUGUAUGUGAAUUAUCUGUUUUCCUCAUGCAGUAACUUAACUUGUGCCUAACCCUUGCUCUGUUUGUCUUCUUGGUGUAGAUUCAAAGAUGGAUAGGAACAAGACACUGAGGCUCGCCCAAGCUUUGAAAACCAGGGGCGAAGCUACGUCCAAAGGGGCUGGGGAUUCCACACUUCCACCCUCCAAAACUGCUCCUACCUCUCCAACCUUUCGUCCCCAAAACCCUUCCCAAACCACACCUCCCCAAACACUUCCCUCUCCAACUCGCACUCCAAACUCUCCACCUCCCAUAGCGGCCAUGCCUCUCGCCUUGGCCGAAACUGCCACGACACCAGCCCCCCUGAACAAAGGCAAAGGGGUGGUGGUGGUUCCUUCCGAAGAUGAAGAGGAGUUUGCUGAAGGGCAAGUCUUCAAGAGGAGGAGGACCACCAAGGUUGUCACCUCCAACUCUUUUUCCAACCAUGGUGUAGAAUCGCUAAGGGAGCACCCUCCAAGCGCCACGUCUCCACCACAACAAGUGGCUUUGAAGGGUGGAAUCGAAUCUGAGCCCGCACCUACUCCUACACCUGCUCCAUAACUUCCCCCACCAGUCCAAGAGAUGCUGAGGGGCUACUUUCACAAGAUGUCUCCAGGUAUCCAAGCUGAGGGGCAAGAAGGAGGGUAUGAACUUCUACCUUGGUGCCUUCAUGGCCUGUGCCAACUCUUGGCGCGAUCAGGCCAAGGCCAAGUCUAAUGAGGUCUCUACCCUUCAAGCUCUCGAAAAGGAGUGCGCCUCGCUGAAGGAGGAAAAAAACUGAUGGGAUCGCCAAGAGGAGGCCUACAAGGACUCCUUGAAGGUUACUCAGAAGGCUAAGGAGGAAGCUAGCAAGGGACUACACGAAGCAGGGCAGGUCGUGCCUCUUUGUGUGCAAGUCGUAGACCUCAAAGACGUUGUAGAAACCUCCGAAGCUAAAAUGAAAAAACUCGAGGAUCACUGCGUCGAUCGUGAGCAGAAGCUGGGCAAAACUGAGGCAGCUCUCGAGGCUUAGACUAAGGAGUGCGAGGUUCUUGAAGCUAAAGUCAAGGUUGCUGACUUGCUUGAAGCUGAGUUGAGGGCGGAGUUGGUGAUAGCCUUCGCGACCAAAGAUCAGGAGCUGACCUCUCAAGCAUAACACUUCAAGAAGACAUUGGAGGAGCUGAUCCAAGACGCCGCGGGUGCGUUUGCUGAUGGGUUUGCUGAGGCCCUCGCCCAAAAAGCUUGCGUGAACCCAGGAAUCGACGUCUCCGAGUGCAGCUCGAUGAACGAAGUUAUAGAAGGCAAAAUCGUGCGUUUAGAAGAUCAUGAGGAUUAGCCUCUUCUAUAACUUUGUAACUGCUAUGAACAUUUUCUGCUACAUACUUUGAAUAUAAUUUAUCUUUGUAAUUACUGUGAACGCUUUCUUCUGCACACUUUGAAUAUAAUUGAUUGUUCUGGCUUCGUACUCUUGUGUAUUCUUUUCUGCUUUUACUGCUUCUGAUAACUUGUGUUUACGCUUUACUCACCAUCGCAUCUUCCUGCUCUGGUCUACGCUUUCUUUUUGCUCUUCGAAUUCCUUUUGCUUCUUUGACUUGUGAUAAUUUCAACUUGAUCUUUACUUACUCUUCUUAGGCCCUAAGGCACUCAUCGCCAAAGUUGCUACUGGUCUCAUCAUCGUUUAAGGAUGAAGGAGGACUCAUCUCUUCUAUGGCCUCGACAUCGCUCGAGGGCGAGGAAGGCUUUUCUUGGCCGAAGCCUGCAUACCUGCACUGGGUGUCCCUACUCGAAGAAAAACCUGUUGAACGCAAGGUUGUAUCGUUCUCAGCGUGUCUAAACACUUGGGACAAAGUCGCACUUUGGUGCCCACGCCCGAGGAGAGGCCUGCUACAGCAGCGCCGUAUCGUCCUCGGGGUGUCUAAACACCAAGGCAACUUAGCCCUUAUCUCUGCGCACUUGGUGCCCACGCCCGAGGAGAGGCAUGCUGAAAGUAGUGUCGUAUCGUCCCCGGUGUGUAUAAACACCAAGAUGACCAGGGACUUUGGUGAUUACGACUAAGGAGAACGUUUCCCUAAGGAUGGCACUUCUCCUACCUAACGUGUUUCUGCACCAAGUCACCUGGCUCUCCACUGCUCCAAACUUCCUCAUUGCCCGACGCCCACACUCGAAGGAAACGCCCCUCGCCACUUCCUUGUGAGGUAUCUAAACAUCGGACACCGAGGCUAGCCGUUCUUACCUGGGGAGGGGGCGUCCCGAAGGAAUCCGUCCAGGGACUAAACGCCCGGAUUUUAACUUUACUCUACGUACCUUACUAACUUGACGCCCACGCCCGGAGAGUGUGCUCCCGCCACUCCCUUUGGGGUGUCUACACUUCCUAGUUGGUUCGUUCGCUUGGUGUCCACGCCCAGAGGAGAUAUCCACGUCCCUCCAGUUGAGGUGUCUAAACACCAAGGGCGGCGGGUUCGUUUCUUAAUGAACCACGCCCCUUCCUUUUAGCAUUUCUUUACAUUGCGAGAAAACGAAAGAUGAGACAAAGUAUUCUUAAACUUCUUUUUUACUUGGGUGACCUCGUUAAAAAACCCCCGAGAGGGAAAAAGAGUGUCCCCUUUAAACUGUAUUCUACAUAAUGUUUUCAACUGAAAUAAAACUUUAAAUUGGCUGUGUUCCAACUGCGUGGAAUGGGGCCUCCUUCCAGAGUCUUAAGUUUGUACGAACCAUUCCCCUUAGCCUCGGUUACUCUGAAGGGUCUGGUCCACUUGGGAGACAACUUGUUCUCCAACUCAUAUGGAUGAGCCUUUCGCAUAACCAGGUCAGCUACUUGGAACUGUCGCGGCUUCACCUUAGAGUUGUACUGAUGCUCCACCCUUCUCUUCACAGCUUCAGCCUUUAUUCUCGCCUCUUCUCUGGCCUCGUCCAACAGAUCUAGAUUCACCCUUCUUUCCUCGUUGGAUUCCUCUGCCACAAAGCUUUGGAAACGGGGCGAACUCUCUUGAAUCUCCAUUGGGAUCAUGGCGUCUGACCCGUACACUAGGCUGAACGGCGUCUCCAUGGUGGAAGACUGAGGAGUGGUGUGGUAAGCCAACACGAUCCUUGGUACUUCUUCUGCCCACGCCCCUUUAGCUUUCUCAAGUCUUCGCUUAAACCCCCUUAACAAAAUUUUGUUUGCGUACUCCACCUGUCCGUUUUUCUGGGUGUGUUUGACAGAUGCGAACACCUGCUUGAUGCCUACUUCUAAGCACAACUUACUCAUUUGCAGGCUGGCAAACAGGGUACCAUUAUCAGAAAUGAGACGCCUCGGCACACCGAAGCGGCACACAAUAUUCUUCCAUACGAAGUGUUGUACCUUAUGUGUAGUGAUCUGCGCCACUGGUUCUGCCUCUAUCCACUUCGUGAAGUACUCGAUGGCGACUAUCAAGUACUUCAUCUGCCUUAUCGCCAUGGUGGGUGCCAAAUGUUCCUGCCGGUUGACCGAAAAGAUCUUCGUGCGUUGCUUUGACUCGCGUAACAAAGACUCCUUCGUCUCCGAUUCAGAUCCUCACCCUACACCGUCGUGAGUACCUGAAAUAGAGUGAGCAAAGGGCGCCCUCGCGGCCGUUUGCACUCCGACGAUCAAGUCAGCAAGCAGAAAACACCAAACACCUCCGUAUCGGAGCACCGUAACUGAAUGCUCUGAAGGUGUGUAACUGAAUUGUAACUAACUUCUCUCUCUCUCCAAUCACUUGUGCGUACAAUGAGUAAGCGAGCAAAUGAUUAGAACGUGUGUAAACUAUGUAAAACGUACCUCACUAAGCUUUCAGAAAAGCUUAUAUACCUUGGGUUUCAGUGCUUGCUGCCACGUGGCUUCUCUAACUUAAGCGCAACUCAACAUGGAAAACCUUACGACACUGUAACCCAACUUAGGGAAAUUCCAACGUGUAAGUCUUCCUUCCUUGAAGUGCAUCCGGCGCAAGGGGUGACUUUCUGGGUGCCAACUCAUGCGCUCCAGCCUCUAGUCACUCGCCCUGGGAGUGUAUCUGCCUUCCUCUCGUACCACGCACAUGGUUCACCCUGGGCGUGGCCCUCUCCUGGGUCGUAUCUGUCCUAGGGAUUCUCCAGAGGUGGCGUGGGUACUUCACGAGUCAAGUUACUCCCUACUAGUACUGGGAAUAUGGCCUUAAAGCCACCUUUCUCUUCUCUUUAUUACUGUUCUGAGGUACCGGGGCCCGAGGCCUCCUCGCCCGUACCAUGGCCUCUUAUUGU
rnacentral:lncRNA from 1 species